GGCGGCGUGGAUAAGACAUGCAAGUCGAACGGGGAACUUACUUAGCUUGCUUUGAAAGUUCCUAGUGGCGAACGGGUGAGUAACACGUGAGUUACCUGCCCUGAAGCGGGGGAUAGCCCGGGGAAACUCGGAUUAAUACCCUAUGUGAUCGUAAGAUUAAAGGCGGCCAUUUAUUUGGCUGUCGCUUCAGGAUGGGCUCGCGGCCUAUCAGCUAGUUGGCGGGGUAAAGGCCCACCAAGGCGAUGACGGGUAGCUGGUCUGAGAGGACGACCAGUCACACUGGAACUGAGACACGGUCCAGACACCUACGGGUGGCAGCAGUCGAGAAUCAUUCGCAAUGGACGAAAGUCUGACGGUGCGACGCCGCGUGGAGGAUGAAGGCCCUAGGGUCGUAAACGCCUGUCAUCAGGGAGUAAAAACUUACGUAGUAACUGACGUAGGUCUUGAUAGUACCUGAAGAGGAAGGGACGGCAAACUUCGUGCCAGCAGCCGCGGUAAUACGAAGGUCCCAAGCGUUGUUCGGAUUUACUGGGCGUAAAGAGUCUGUAGGCGGUAUGGUAAGUCAGAUGUGAAAUCCCGGGGCUCAACCCCGGAACUGCAUCCGAUACUGCCAUACUAGAGUAUUGGAGGGGAGUCUGGAAUUCUCGGUGUAGCAGUGAAAUGCGUAGAUAUCGAGAGGAACACUAGUGGCGAAGGCGAGACUCUGGACAAUUACUGACGCUGAGAGACGAAGGCCAGGGUAGCGAAAAGGAUUAGAUACCCUUGUAGUCCUGGCAGUAAAC
rnacentral:rRNA from 1 species